GGGCUGCUGUGAAGUCACUGGAAGUGCAGACUGGGCACUUCUUUCUAGAGUCAGUAACAGGUUGUUCCCCCCUCUCUUCCUACCAUGGCUGAGGAUUGGUCCCUGCCCCUUCCCCAGCUCACUGAAGCUCCCUCCACAGUCAAAUGAUGAGACUCCAGCAUCUCACAGAGGUCUGGGCCUCAGCCUCUAACUCCCCACCACGACCCAGAGUUGACCCUACUUCCCAGCCUGUUCCUGACCCUCAGUAUCUCAUCUUGUUUGGUCUCCCACCUGCGGCGCCAUCUCCGCGACCCCACCAUUUUGACCAUGUCUGUGGACCAUGUCUGGCAUGUCACCAUGCCAACUCCUCUUCUGCACGGGCUGCUGCCAAGAAUCCUAGGAGUCCUGUGCUGUCUUCUGGCGGGUCAGGGAUACUUCUUUGCUGGUGUCUAGGAUCCCAGGCUUAACGCCUGUGUCUCUUUCUACCCUGCACCUCCAUUGGAACCUGGCUGCCUGCACUCUGCCCUCCAGAGAGGACAGAAGAAGAAAAAAACAAAUGAUUGCAAGGAAGAAGGUACGUCAUGGAUCUGCGCCCCAUGAAGAAGACCCCAGG